CACUUUCAGUCAGGAGGAAAGGUUAGUAGUUAAUACCUGCUAGCUGUGACGUUACUGACAGAAGAAGCACCGGCUAACUCCGUGCCAGCAGCCGCGGUAAUACGGAGGGUGCGAGCGUUAAUCGGAAUUACUGGGCGUAAAGCGUACGCAGGCGGUUUGUUAAGCGAGAUGUGAAAGCCCCGGGCUCAACCUGGGAACUGCAUUUCGAACUGGCAAACUAGAGUGUGAUAGAGGGUGGUAGAAUUUCAGGUGUAGCGGUGAAAUGCGUAGAGAUCUGAAGGAAUACCGAUGGCGAAGGCAGCCACCUGGGUCAACACUGACGCUCAUGUACGAAAGCGUGGGGAGCAAACAGGAUUAGAUACCCUGGUAGUCCACGCCGUAAACGAUGUCUACUAGAAGCUCGGAACCUCGGUUCUGUUUUUCAAAGCUAACGCAUUAAGUAGACCGCCUGGGGAGUACGGCCGCAAGGUUAAAACUCAAAUGAAUUGACGGGGGCCCGCACAAGCGGUGGAGCAUGUGGUUUAAUUCGAUGCAACGCGAAGAACCUUACCUACACUUGACAUACAGAGAACUUACCAGAGAUGGUUUGGUGCCUUCGGGAACUCUGAUACAGGUGCUGCAUGGCUGUCGUCAGCUCGUGUUGUGAGAUGUUGGGGUUAAGUCCCGCAACGAGCGCAACCCCUAUCCUUAGUUGCUAGCAGGUAAUGCUGAGAACUCUAAGGAGACUGCCGGUGAUAAAC
rnacentral:rRNA from 1 species